rnacentral:rRNA from 1 species
AGUGGGGGAGUAGCCUUUCGAAAGGAAGAUUAAUACGCAUAAGAUUGUAGUAUCGCAUGAUAUAGCAAUUAAAGGAAGCAAUUCGCUAUAAGAUGGACCCGCGUCGCAUUAGCUAGUUGGUGAGGUAAUGGCUCACCAAGGCGACGAUGCGUAGCCGACCUGAGAGGGUGAUCGGCCACAUUGGGACUGAGACACGGCCCAGACUCCUACGGGAGGCAGCAUG